UAGGGAAUCUUCGGCAAUGGGGGCAACCCUGACCGAGCAACGCCGCGUGAGUGAAGAAGGUUUUCGGAUCGUAAAGCUCUGUUGUAAGAGAAGAACGUGUGUGAGAGUGGAAAGUUCACACAGUGACGGUAACUUACCAGAAAGGGACGGCUAACUACGUGCCAGCAGCCGCGGUAAUACGUAGGUCCCGAGCGUGGUCCGGAUUUAUUGGGCGUAAAGCGAGCGCAGGCGGUUUAAUAAGUCUGAAGUUAAAGGCAGUGGCUUAACCAUUGUUCGCUUUGGAAACUGUUAAACUUGAGUGCAGAAGGGGAGAGUGGAAUUCCAUGUGUAGCGGUGAAAUGCGUAGAUAUAUGGAGGAACACCGGUGGCGAAAGCGGCUCUCUGGUCUGUAACUGACGCUGAGGCUCGAAAGCGUGGGGAGCAAACAGG
rnacentral:rRNA from 1 species